rnacentral:rRNA from 1 species
AAAGGCUGCGGUAUUUUGACCGUACAAAGGUAGCAUAAUCAUUAGUUUUUUAAUUGAAAACUCGUAUGAAUGGUUUAACGAAAUAUUGACUGUUUCAUAAAAAUUUAAAUAGAAAUUAAUUUUUUAGUUAAAAAGCUAAAAUAAAAUUAAAAGACGAGAAGACCCUAUAGAGUUUUAUACUAAAUAUUUUAUAAUUUAUUUAUAAUAAUUAAAAUUUUAUUGUUUUUUGUAUUUUGUUGGGGUGACAAUAAAAUUUUAAAACCUUUUAUUUUUUAUUAAACAAUGAUUUUUGAAUAAUUGAUCCACUAUUAGUGAUUAUAAGAUUAAAUUACCUUAGGGAUAACAGCG